CGGAAUGGAGACACGGACCCAGGACCGGGCCUGACUCCGGCCCCACGCUGUCCUCUUCCUGGGAUGCCGCAGGGCGGGGCCCUGACCCACAGCCUCCUUCUCACUCGGGCAGUCUCAGAGCCCGCGACUUCGAAAGUGAGGAGCUGCUGGCGCCGCGUGCUGCAGGCCAGGAUCUGGUGAGUUUGAAGAGAGGCCCGGACAACCAACAUGAAAACCCCUGCUUCCUUUUCCUGAAGUGUAACCCUGACGGAGGUGAAGAAAUAGCUUCUAUUGGCAUUUUAAGUUCAGCAAGAAAUACGGAAGUGUACCCAGGAGAGGAGUACUGUGGAACCAGCAGGGGCAAGAAUGUUUAUACUGUCCUGG
rnacentral:lncRNA from 1 species